AUCUAGCUGAUAAGUCCCAAACAGAGCGAGACGCGCUUCCUGGAU
rfam:Schistosoma mattheei strain Denwood, Zambia genome assembly, scaffold: SMTD_scaffold0002030